UCUGCGAAGUGGGGGUUCACCGACACCGAGAUCAGCGAUGUGCUUCGACAGAUUGGAACAAAAGAUUAUUGUCCUGCUUUUUCUGAUUGUGCGAUGACCCUCUUCAGUCGCAUGCCGCUGUAGCGAGGUGCCCCAAUUUGAGCUCCACCGGCUGCGAUCGCCCUAUCAAUGCAUUGCUUCAGCGGACGCACCAGGGACGAGUUCAGAAUGCACGCCGCAGCGGAAGCCAAUACGCGCGAAGCCCAGCUACGUAUUACUCACAAGAGAAGGACAAAUCACGGUCAUGGUGGCUAAAAGCGGUGAACUCUAUCACGCAUCCAGAGCGUGAAAUACCGAAGCACUGACAAGUUCGAGAACAUCCUUGACGAGCUCAUCAUGGAUAUGAAUACCCACAUACCCAGACUCGUUACUGGAAGAAACCAUUGUUAUGCUUAAAUUGAAUUUUGUGCAAAACCUGCACCGAACGUAGAUAAUACCAGUUUAUGCACCUGACGCUUUGGCCGCAUGUAAUCCUGUGAUUAAUUCUCCGAAGCAUUGCUGUCUAAGGGCAUCCCUAGCUUAUCUAUCUUUUGGAUAUAUGACCCAGUGGCUCAAUGGAUGGAGCUUGAGUAUCAAUUUCUUCUGCCCACAAGUAAAUACUUCGUGUGCAUUCAUGUGAGACCUAGAAGCUCACGGAAGAACCCAUCCCCUUGCAUCACUUGUGCUUCUCUUCACGUGAGUUAUCAAUCAAUGGAGUUAAGUGAACAGUUGUGGAGCGUUGCCAAUUGAUCGUUGCGUGCUUGGUUUGUAUCGCACUCAGUUGAGUUUAGCCGUGGGGUUGAGGAGGGAAUUUAGGCAUCGGCAGCGCUCAGUUUUCUGGUUUUCGUGAUUCUGCUUGUGUGUGUCCCCUGCUUCAAGCAUCAUGGACGACAAAUACUCCGCCUGCAAAGCUGUCGCUGCAAGUGCCGACGUCACUGCUGUCCAGAAUUUUGGGUUCAGAGGUUUGAUGGCAGCAUUCGUAUUUUGUGAUAAUUGUGGGGAUUGCAUUCCUCAGCUUUGACGUUGGUGACAGAGAGCUGAGGUUGCUAAUCCUUUUGAAUUUAUUGGGAUUGAUAUGUGGAUAUUGCAUUCUUGAAGUCGAUGUACGUGCUUAUCCAUGAUCGUUGGAUCUAUGGGGAUGGGGAAGGUUGUCCUUGUAUCAGAUCUUCGAUAGGCUCUUAGUUGCAAACACAAUGCAGACCAGGUUAUGUUUAGAUUUUACUUUUUUAGAUGUUUAAUGCAAUGCUCCUCGAUCAUGGGCUCUACAGAGACUUCGUUGCGGAGGAAAAGGUGACUCUCUGCAUAGUUGGGGAGUUUGUGCCUUUCCGUCGAGUAUGAAGUUCUAAUGCUUCGAGUACUGCCGAAGGGUUUGAUAGCAGAUUAUUGUUUAGAGUGCGGAACGCUGAAUAUUCAGUGGAGAGGUCACAUUUCAGCUUGAUGUAGAUAGUCAGUGCUGCUGAUAGGGUUUGAUGUAUCUGCUCCGGAUGGACGGUUCAAUCUAGUUGCUGCAAACUUGCACUGGAGUUUUUCAGUCUCCUGAACAUUACAGAAGAACAAAUCAGUGAAAUAUUGCUAUGGACUUUUAUGUGGAUGCUUAUGUCAUUAUAACGCCGAACACCUUAUAGCAUGGCUGACAUGUGUGAAAUGCACUUCUCUCACUCUAUACUCCUGGAUGUAACUAGCUGAAAUUAUCUGUUGCAGGAAAGACCCAGAAAUCAUUUGGAUUUUCGUCACCGGCUUAAUUCGGAGGGCCAAGGUGAAGGGAAAGUGUUUGAAUACAGUUCGGCAUGCAUCGGAGCUAGAUUCUAGGCUAUUGUGGAGUGUUAUGGUCGGCUAUAUGAGACCACUGAAGAGUAGGAUAACCAUUAAGACUUGAAUAUUUUUUUUAAUUGUAGCAUAUCAAGUUAAAACCAAUACGAGUAAAUACAUACCAAUACGGUAAUCUUUGUUGUCGCGUUGGCUGAACUAAAUGAGCUGGUUUAAAUGUUCUAGUUGUAAUGCGCAGAGAGAGCGUAUUGUUGAGACAUAUUUGGUGUUAGAUUUCAUCGUAGUCUUUCUCUGAAUGAAGAUCCGAUGGUAUUAUUUUGUUUGAUCUGUUCGUGGGAGUACGUUUAAAAUUCAUUGAUAACAGUUGACUGGAAAAAAGUUGAGUCUGAGAGGGGCUGCUACUAAUGAGGUUGAAUGGGUGUGCGAGCAGCCCAACAAGAGUUGCAAAGAAUUUUUUGAAGCAAUAUCGGCAGCUCAUGACGAAGAUUCUAAACUGAAGAAAACGAAAAGGUCGCAACAGUAGGUGCAGGUCGUCACGUCGGAAAGAAAGCAGAAAAAACCGCAAAUGAUGUAUUAGCUGACGCAGAAGAUGCUUUCAGCACAGGCAAUGAUGUUGAGAUUUAAAAGACUUUAUGUUGCAUUUUUAAGUGGAUCAUUGGUGUUAGUUGAGUUCACAAUAUUAAGGACAAUUCUAAAACAGGAAUUUUUUGUCCUUAGUUUAUUUUUGAGAUACAAGGCGUUGUUGCCCAGGAACAGAGAUUGUACAAUGAACUAAGUUUGUUGAUUGCACCUAAUUACCUUAGAUUAAAAGUAUUCCACUGCAUUCUAGCUUCUAUGGAACACACAUUAGAAGGUUGUGAAGUUAUACGUUUGUGAAAUAACCUUAGUGGAUCAGGGCCAAUCGAGCGAGACAUUGACCGUAUGGGUAGGAAAUGGGACUAUGCAUCGGAGAGUGCAUAUAAAAAUACUUGAAAAAGUAUUUCAGGGUUCGUCCCUGUUACAGUUGUCGUUGUGGCUGCUAAUGACGUGCUUUAAUUUGGAUGAAGACUCAA